AAUGAAUAAAUAAUCUAAUUAUGAUUAUAAUAAUGACUUAUAGAUAGAUAUUUUAUACAUUUAUAUAUAUUAUGAUUAUUAAUUAUGGAUAGACAGAUUAUAUAUUAUGAGUUUUGUCCAAUAGCUAAUGUCAAAGUAAGAUUAUUUGUAAUUUGUAAUUUACUGUUCAAGAAAAAGAAAAAAAAAGAAGAGAAGAAAAGAAAAUCCUAAACUAACACAAAUUAUAUAAUAAAGAAUGAGAAAUUCUUACCUAGAUUCGGUGUAUAUAUUAUAAUUAAUAAAAAAAUAAUAUAUAUAUCUAAGUGUUUUAUAUUUUUAUAUUAAAAAAUUGACAUAUAUUUUAUUAUUUUAAAUUAAUAAAUAUAAUAAAUAUGUGUCAAGGCCUGAUGACAAGACCUAAGAGGAGACAUCCAAACUCCUGCAUCACAUAUGCAAGCAAACUUAUUGUCAAUCUCCACCUACCCACUUUACGUAACUCUUUCCUCAACCUCUUGCAACAUAACCACACACACAAAUUUGCUGCUAAUAUUUCUUUUUUUCUCUCUCGGACGCACAAAUUCAGAGCAAUUUCCUAUUUGCUAUAUGGAGAAGGCAAAAAGGCCCAUUCGGAUGAUCGGAUUAGUCAGCUUCCUGAUCUUAUUUUGUCUUCUAUUCUAUCAACUUUAACACUAAAAGAUGUGAUGAAGACUAGUGUAUUGUCCAAAAGAUGCAAAAUUUGUUUGAAAACAAAUAUGAUAAGCACAAGUUCACUUUACAAGAUUAUGAUUUCUUUUUGGGUGUUUCUUCCUUCCAUCUUCAGUUCUAGUUGUCAGUUCUUCCCUUCGUAAAUUGUUACUGUUUGGUCCCUGAAACCUUUUGAAGGUUGAGAUAUCUGUUGUAAAUCCCAUAUCUUUUAAGUACAAGCCUUGUAAGCUCGCAGAUUUUUUUUUUUUCUCAUGUUCCUCGCCUUGUAGGAUUUUAUUUCUAUACAUGUGAAACAGAAAGAUUGCAUCAUCUUUUAUCCCAAUUAAAAGAUGUUUCUAAUUUAGAGAUCUUAAA